rnacentral:rRNA from 1 species
GACGAACGCUGGCGGCGUGCUUAACACAUGCAAGUCGAACGGAAAGGCCCUGCUUUUGUGGGGUGCUCGAGUGGCGAACGGGUGAGUAACACGUGAGUAACCUGCCCUUGACUUUGGGAUAACUUCAGGAAACUGGGGCUAAUACCGGAUAGGAGCUCCUGCUGCAUGGUGGGGGUUGGAAAGUUUCGGCGGUUGGGGAUGGACUCGCGGCUUAUCAGCUUGUUGGUGAGGUAGUGGCUUACCAAGGCUUUGACGGGUAGCCGGCCUGAGAGGGUGACCGGCCACAUUGGGACUGAGAUACGGACCAGACUCCUACGGGCGGCAGCAGUGGGGAAUAUUGCACAAUGGGCGGAAGCCUGAUGCAGCAACGCCGCGUGCGGGAUGACGGCCUUCGGGUUGUAAACCGCUUUCGCCUGUGACGAAGCGUGAGUGACGGUAAUGGGUAAAGAAGCACCGGCUAACUACGUG